GGGUUGUGAGGUUAAGCGACUAAGCGUACACGGUGGAUGCCCUGGCAGUCAGAGGCGAUGAAGGACGUGCUAAUCUGCGAUAAGCGUCGGUAAGGUGAUAUGAACCGUUAUAACCGGCGAUUUCCGAAUGGGGAAACCCAGUGUGUUUCGACACACUAUCAUUAACUGAAUCCAUAGGUUAAUGAGGCGAACCGGGGGAACUGAAACAUCUAAGUACCCCGAGGAAAAGAAAUCAACCGAGAUUCCCCCAGUAGCGGCGAGCGAACGGGGAGCAGCCCAGAGCCUGAAUCAGUGUGUGUGUUAGUGGAAGCGUCUGGAAAGGCGCGCGAUACAGGGUGACAGCCCCGUACACAAAAAUGCACAUACUGUGAGCUCGAUGAGUAGGGCGGGACACGUGGUAUCCUGUCUGAAUAUGGGGGGACCAUCCUCCAAGGCUAAAUACUCCUGACUGACCGAUAGUGAACCAGUACCGUGAGGGAAAGGCGAAAAGAACCCCGGCGAGGGGAGUGAAAAAGAACCUGAAACCGUGUACGUACAAGCAGUGGGAGCCUCUUUAUGGGGUGACUGCGUACCUUUUGUAUAAUGGGUCAGCGACUUAUAUUCUGUAGCAAGGUUAACCGAAUAGGGGAGCCGAAGGGAAACCGAGUCUUAACUGGGCGUUAAGUUGCAGGGUAUAGACCCGAAACCCGGUGAUCUAGCCAUGGGCAGGUUGAAGGUUGGGUAACACUAACUGGAGGACCGAACCGACUAAUGUUGAAAAAUUAGCGGAUGACUUGUGGCUGGGGGUGAAAGGCCAAUCAAACCGGGAGAUAGCUGGUUCUCCCCGAAAGCUAUUUAGGUAGCGCCUCGUGAAUUCAUCUCCGGGGGUAGAGCACUGUUUCGGCAAGGGGGUCAUCCCGACUUACCAACCCGAUGCAAACUGCGAAUACCGGAGAAUGUUAUCACGGGAGACACACGGCGGGUGCUAACGUCCGUCGUGAAGAGGGAAACAACCCAGACCGCCAGCUAAGGUCCCAAAGUCAUGGUUAAGUGGGAAACGAUGUGGGAAGGCCCAGACAGCCAGGAUGUUGGCUUAGAAGCAGCCAUCAUUUAAAGAAAGCGUAAUAGCUCACUGGUCGAGUCGGCCUGCGCGGAAGAUGUAACGGGGCUAAACCAUGCACCGAAGCUGCGGCAGCGACACUAUGUGUUGUUGGGUAGGGGAGCGUUCUGUAA
rnacentral:rRNA from 1 species